rnacentral:misc_RNA from 1 species
UCUCGGCUUAUCACCGGCAGUCCCCCUAGAGUGCCCAACUGAAUGAUGGCAACUAAGGGCGAGGGUUGCGCUCGUUGCGCCACCUAAGGCAACACCUCACGGCACGAGCUGACGACAGCCAUGCACCACCUGUGCGGGCUCCGAAGAGCACCGCGUUUCCACGGUUUCACCCCGCAUGUCAAGCCCAGGUAAGGUUCUUCGCGUUGCAUCGAAUUAAGCCACAUGCUCCGCCGCUUGUGCGGGCCCCCGUCAAUUUCUUUGAGUUUUAAUCUUGCGACCGUACUCCCCAGGCGGCGCGUUUAACGCGUUAGCUCCGGCACAGAAGGGGUCGAAUCCUCCCACACCAAACGCGCACCGUUUACUGCCAGGACUAC